UUAAAUCCUUAUAUUUGUUCAAGUAUUACUUAUCAUAUUUAUCCAGUUAUCUGGUCACUUACUUGUUUAUCAACUUAUCCAGUUAUCUGGUCACUUACUUGCUUGUCAAUAUAUCCAGUUAUCUGGUCAUUUACUUGCGUAUCAAUAUAUCCAGUUAUCUGGUCAUUUACUCUACAAUAUAAUUUGUGUUUCCAAUAUAACUUAGUAUUCAUAUACUAUAGUUGUGUUUGAAACACUAUCAAGCAAGUUGACUCAGUAUUCAUAUACUGUAGUAAGCUUCAAAGAGUAAUACUUACAUUAUUAUAUCAAUUAAAAUAAUAAUAUCCUUAUAUCAUUACUGUUCAACCAUUUGUUUAUUAAGCAUUUACAGGUAAUUCCGCUAUCAACCUGUAUAAAUCGAAAAGAGGCUAUCAUCCCCCCUUAUAGCCUCGGAUCACGAUCCAACAAGUAUGAGCUGGCGGAUCUCUUCGAGAAUCCUUAGGAUCUUGGGAAAUAUUUGCAAAUUUUCCAAGUAUGGAAAUUUCCUCCUCGUAUCC
rnacentral:lncRNA from 1 species